rnacentral:rRNA from 1 species
GACGAACGCUGGCGGCGUGCUUAACACAUGCAAGUCGAACGGAAAGGCCCUGCUUGCAGGGUACUCGAGUGGCGAACGGGUGAGUAACACGUGGGUGAUCUGCCCUGCACUUCGAGAUAAGCCUGGGAAACUGGGUCUAAUACCGGAUAGGAGCCAUUUUUAGUGUGAUGGUUGGAAAGUUUUUUCGGUGUAGGAUGAGCUCGCGGCCUAUCAGCUUGUUGGUGGGGUAAUGGCCUACCAAGGCGGCGACGGGUAGCCGGCCUGGGAGGGUGGACGGCCACAUUGGGACUGAGAUACGGCCCAGACGCCUACGGGAGGCAGCAGUGGGGAAUAUUGCACAAUGGGCGCAAGCCUGAUGCAGCGACGCCGCGUGGGGGAUGACGGCCUUCGGGUUGUAAACUCGUUUCGCUAGGGACGAAGCUUUUUGUGACGGUACCUAGAUAAGAAGCACCGGCUAACUACGUG